rnacentral:lncRNA from 10 species
UGGGUGGGUGGUUUUGAUUUAGAAGGAGUCCAAAAGAAUUUUGUGGGCUGCUAAAAAUGUUACAUAAAUGAUUCUCUGUAUGGUUGUUACAUGGGUAAAUACAAAUGAAAAAAUUUAUUGACUAAAAGAAGUUGAUUCAUGGGUACAAAUAUGCAGUUUGAUAGAAGAAAUAAGACCUAGUGUUUGGUAGAUCAGUAGGGUGACUGUAAUUUACAAUAAUCUAUGGCAUAUUUCAAAAUAGCUAGAAGAGGAUAAUUCAAAUGUUUCUAACAUAAAGAAAAGACAAAUAUUUAAGAUGAUGGAUAUCUCAAUUACACUGAUACAAUCUUUACGAAUUAUAUGAAUGUAUUAAAUUUUCACAGGUACCCCCAAAAUAUGUACAUCUAUUUUGUAUCAGUAAAAAUUAUUUUAAAAAUUCAUUGGGCUAUACAGUGAAAGUUUGUGUAUUUUGCUGUCUGUAUUUCGUGCUUCGAUAAGAAAUAAAGUAUGUAUAUAUCCAGAUUCUAAGCCUAGCCCUGAAAUCAUCCUGUAUGAUCAUCUAGCUCUCUUUCCCCUGCUGCAGCAAUGGGAGAAGUAUUCUUCUCCUUCCUUCAUCCUCCACAUUCAAAAUAUAAGUAAGUCUUCUCAGCUCCACUGUCAGAAACAUCUAGAAUUUGCUCCCUAUCUCCAUCUUCCCUUCUCUACCCUAGUGCAAGUUAUUACCAUUGGUCACCUGGACACUAAAAUAGCCUUAUUCUUUUCGAUGACUGCAUAGUGUUCCAUCCCAUACAGUAUGUAGUGAGCUGAAUGGUGGCCCCAAAGAUAUGUCCAUGUUCUAAUCCCUGGAACACUGUCUCAGCCUCCUCAGACUGCCAUAAUAAAAUAUCAUAGAUGGGCUGGCUUAAACAACAGGAACUUAUUUCUCACAGUUCUAGAGGCUAAGAAGUCCAAGAUCAAGGUGCUAACAAGGUAGGUUUCAUUCUGAAGGAUCUUCUCUUGGCUUGUAGGUGGCUACAGUCUUGCUAUGUGCUCACAUGACUUUUGUGUGCAUGAGGGGGUGAAAGAGAGAGCAAGCUCUAUGGUGUCUCUUUCUAUCAGGGCAGUGAUCCCGUCACAAGAACCCUACCCUUAUGACCUCAUCUAAUCCUAAUUACCUCCCAAAGGCCUCACUUCUAAAUACAAUCACACUGGGGGUUUAGGGUUUCAACUUAGGAGUUUUGGGGGGACACAUUCAGUUCAUAACAAAUCUGUACAAGUUACUUUAAUUUAAAAAAGGAUCUUGCAGAUGUGAUUAAAGAUCUUGAGAUGAAAAGAUCAUCCUGGAUUACUCCAUGGGCCCUAAAUGUCAUCACAUGUAUCCUUAUGGGAGAGAUGCAGAGGGAUAUUUUACUCACAGACAAAAGCCCACAUAGGAGAAGGUGCAUAUGAAGACAAAGCAGAGGGAUGUGGCCACAAGCCAAGGAUGACAACAGCCACCAGAAGCUGGAAGAGGCGAGGAAUGGAUUCUCCCCUAGAGCCCUUGGAGGCAUCAUGGCGCUGCUGACACAUUGAUUUCAGACUUCUCCAGAACUGUAAGAGAAUAAAUAUCUGCUGUUUGCAGCCACCCAGUUGGUGGUAAUUUGUAACGGCAGCUGUAGGAGCUAAUACACUAUA